rnacentral:rRNA from 1 species
CCUACGGGAGGCAGCAGUAGGGAAUCUUCCACAAUGGACGAAAGUCUGAUGGAGCAACGCCGCGUGUGUGAUGAAGGGUUUCGGCUCGUAAAACACUGUUGUAAGAGAAGAAUGACAUUGAGAGUAACUGUUCAGUGUGUGACGGUAUCUUACCAGAAAGGAACGGAUAAAUAAUUGCCAGCAGCCGCGGUAAUACGUAUGUUCCAAAGGUUAUCCGGAUUUGUUGGGCGUAAGGCGAGCGCAGACGGUUGGUUAAUUGCGAAAUGAAAGCACACAGCUUAACUGUGGAAGUUCUUUGGAAACUGGAUAACUUGAUUGCAGUAGAGGAGAGUGGAACUCCAUGUGUAGCGGUGAAAUGCGUAGAUAUAUGGAAGACCACCAGUGGCAAAGACGGCUCUCUGGACUGUAACUGACGUUGAGGCUCGAAAGUGUGGGUAGCAAACAGGAUUAGAUACCCAGGUAGUC